GGGGAAUAUUGGGCAAUGCCCGCAAGGGUGACCCAGCAACGCCGCGUGGAGGCUGAAUGUCGAAAGAUUGUAAACUCCUGUUAGAGGGGAAGAAUAGUACCGGUUGGACCGGUAUAUGACUGUACCCUCAGAGAAAGCCCCGGCUAACUACGUGCCAGCAGCCGCGGUAAUACGUAGGGGGCAAGCGUUGUCCGGAUUUACUGGGUGUAAAGGGCGCGCAGGCGGGAUAAAAAGUCAGUGGUGAAAUCCUACAGCUUAACUGUAGAACUGCCUUUGAUACUUUUAUUCUUGACUUCGGGAGAGAGAGGCGGAAUUCCAGGUGUAGUGGUGAAAUACGUAGAUAUCUGGAAGAACACCAUUUGCGAAGGCGGUCUCUGGG
rnacentral:rRNA from 1 species